rnacentral:rRNA from 1 species
CACGUAGGGUGCGAGCGUUGUCCGGAAUUAUUGGGCGUAAAGAGCUCGUAGGCGGUGUGUCGCGUCGGCCGUGAAAACCUGCAGCUUAACUGUGGGCUUGCGGUCGAUACGGGGCAUCACUGGAGUUCGGCAGGGGGAGACUGGAAUUCCUGGUGUAGCGGUGAAAAUGCGCAGAUAGUCAGGAGGAACACCGGUGGCGAAGGCAGGCUCGCUGGGGAC